GCCGCCUUAGCUCAGUUGGUAGAGCAACGCAUUUGUAAUGCGUGGGUCCUCGGUCCGAGUCCGAGAGGCGGCU
rnacentral:tRNA from 1 species